rnacentral:rRNA from 1 species
UACAGAGGGUGCGAGCGUUAAUCGGAAUUACUGGGCGUAAAGCGUGCGUAGACGGCUAUCUAAGUCGGGUGUGAAAGCCCCGGGCUCAACCUGGGAAUUGCAUUCGAGACUGAAUAGCUAGGGUACGGUAGAGGGAAGCGGAAUUUCCGGUGUAGCGGUGAAAUGCGUAGAGAUGCGGAGGAACACCGAUGGCGAAGGCAGCCCCCUGGGCUAGCACUGACGCUCAGGCACGAAAGCGUGGGGAGCAAACAGG